GUGCAGUAGUAAUUUCUCUCCCCUGCUGGUGGAAGUCCAUUUCCUUCACUGGAAUGAUAAUCAGAGGCAGGUUCUUCCAUCUAUCAUCCGAUCGUCUGGUGUCUCAGACACUUUCCGCAAAAUCUUGGGAUCUUCCAGAGGCAAACCAGACGAGUCAAACGCCUGCGGCUGCCACCCGUCCAGGAAGACGGGCGAGUAAGGAGGGACGGACACACCGAGCUCGGAACUGGAGGAAAGGCUCAUUCAAAUGAGUGGCAGCAGUCAGUCAGUCAAAGCGUGCCAGCGAACGAGCCCACCAUCCAAAACCUGACGUGGAUUCACCAGUUCCAGGGGGAUAAAGAUGUGAUGGAGCAACUCUGAGCGACUUAUCAGAGAAGUGGCUUCUCACCAGCAGACUGAAGGAGUAUUUGAUUUUCUGAAAGAGGUCUACAAAUUCUUCUUGGGACGGAGGAACCGCUUUCAUGUGGCAAAGAAAAAAAGUGACGACGACAUCAGCAGCAGGAGGUAAAGGUGUGCUUGCUACCUACCCUCUUGGCUUUGCUUCUUGCUCAUCCUGCUUCUUUUCUUCCUCUGGUUGAGAAUGCUCUGCGCAUCGGCCGCC